CGAAGACCAGUCAGCAUCUGAGUCCACUCUCUCUCCCUGCUUGUGAUUCAACUUUAGCUCACACUUGAACUGGCCAGUGAAGAGGUGAUUUGGGGCCUUGUGAAGACAAUUUCCAGUUCUGCAGAAACUAGCUGAAAUACCAGAGCUGACAUCAGAUGGUUAGAAGAGAGUGACAUUAGGUAGACAUCGAGAGUCUGAAGCCACCACAAGCUUACUCACCUUUGCAGAAUUCUAACCAUAGUAAGUUUCCUUCAGAAAAUACUGGAUGUGUGUACUGCAAGGGAGAGAGCAGAUGGCAGAACAGGGUGGAUGCAGUGGAAGCAACACUUCUCACUGUGUACCAUUUUUGCUUUUGAAACCUGUGAAUUAUUACUUAUUCCA